rnacentral:tRNA from 1 species
GACAUGAUGGCUUAGUGGAUAGAGUGCCCGCUUCAUGAACGGGAGGUCGUGGGUUCGAGCCCCGGCCGAGUCA